rnacentral:lncRNA from 1 species
CAUUAAGAUAGAGGCUGUGUAACUAAUUCCAGUUGAAUUAGGUUAUAUUUUUUCAAGAUGGAGGUCUUCCAUAGCAAUGUUACAAUAUUCUUGGUGUUUUCCUGGAUUGUAGGAAAACAUACUGGUAAAGGACUAAGUGGUGCCCACCCUGGUUAUGUUUGGCUAGAGUGGCAUUUCUGAGGGAGCAAGAAGGGAUGCUUUUUUUGAAUAGACUGAAUCUAAUUUCUUUUCUUUUUCUGUUACUUGGAACGAUAGUUAAGACUGCCUAAAGAUGAGGAUACUACUGUUAUCAAAGCUACAUGCCAAAUAGGAAGACAGAAACAAUCUCAGUAAGAAAGAUAGCUGUAAGACUUGCUCAUCACAUUGCGAGUCCUGAAAUUACUAUUUUUAGUGACAGCAGAAGAUACAAUACAGAAUUCAGAAUUGCUUGAAUGCCCUGUUGCAUUUGCCAUUGAACUUCAAUGAAUGCCUUUUCAGCAUAACCUUCCAGAUGCAAAUGGGCGCAAAACAGAAGCAGAAGCCUGAGCUACUGGCUUAUACCCACUAAUCACCUUGCAUUAUUCAAGUGUUGCCUUAUUGGAGAGGUUGUCCUUGAGGAGAAAAGUUACGUUGUUCCCGGUGAGUUAGCA